rnacentral:rRNA from 1 species
UGAUUAUGGCUCAGAGUGAACGCUGGCGGCAGGCCUAACACAUGCAAGUCGAACGGCAGCACAGGGGAGCUUGCUCCCUGGGUGGCGAGUGGCGGACGGGUGAGGAAUACAUGGGAAUCUGCCCAAUCGUGGGGGAUAACGUAGGGAAACUUACGCUAAUACCGCAUACGACCUUAGGGUGAAAGCGGCGGACCGCAAGGCGUCGCGCGAUUGGAUGAGCCCAUGUCGGAUUAGCUAGUUGGCGGGGUAAAGGCCCACCAAGGCGACGAUCCGUAGCUGGUCUGAGAGGAUGAUCAGCCACACUGGAACUGAGACACGGUCCAGACUCCUACGGGAGGCAGCAGUGGGGAAUAUUGGACAAUGGGCGCAAGCCUGAUCCAGCCAUGCCGCGUGAGUGAAGAAGGCCUUCGGGUUGUAAAGCUCUUUUGUCCGGAAAGAAAAGCUUUCGGUUAAUACCCGGAAGUCCUGACGGUACCGGAAGAAUAAGCACCGGCUAACUUCGUGCCAGCAGCCGCGGUAAUACGAAGGGUGCAAGCGUUACUCGGAAUUACUGGGCGUAAAGCGUGCGUAGGUGGUUCGUUAAGUCUGAUGUGAAAGCCCUGGGCUCAACCUGGGAAUUGCAUUGGAUACUGGCGGGCUAGAGUGCGGUAGAGGAUGGCGGAAUUCCCGGUGUAGCAGUGAAAUGCGUAGAGAUCGGGAGGAACAUCCGUGGCGAAGCGGCCAUCUGGACCAGCACUGACACUGAGGCACGAAAGCGUGGGGAGCAAACAGGAUUAGAUACCCUGGUAGUCCACGCCCUAAACGAUGCGAACUGGAUGUUGGGUGCAACUAGGCACUCAGUAUCGAAGCUAACGCGUUAAGUUCGCCGCCUGGGGAGUACGGUCGCAAGACUGAAACUCAAAUGAAUUGACGG